rnacentral:rRNA from 1 species
UACAGAGACUGCAAGCGUUAUUCGGAUUCACUGGGCGCAAAGGGUGCGCAGGCGGUCGGGUGUGUCAGAUGUGAAAUCCCGAGGCUCAACCUCGGAACUGCGUCUGAAACUACUCGACUAGAGUACUGGAGAGGGUAACGGAAUUCACGGUGUAGCAGUGAAAUGCGUAGAGAUCGUAAGGAAGACCAGUGGCGAAGGCGGGUCUCUGGACAGUUCCUGACACUGAGGCACGAAGGCCAGGGGAGCAAACGGG